AAUCUGGACGCUACAGCUUUAAGCAGCUGCGCGCUCCCGCGGACGGCAAUCACAAUCACUGUCUAGCACAACAGCUGGAGCUCAGGAGGCAAAACAAUCGCAUGAGUGCUGCUGUUUGACUGAGGAAGAAUAAAGUAGUCGUGGUCAGAAUAUCAUUAAGUGUCACACUUUGACAAGUUCAUCAGCUGGUAACAAACCUGUUCACAGCUCAGAUCCAGACUCAGAUUUGGUGCCUUUCAGUGUCUGAAGAUGUGUUCGAGUCUCUCCACCAGCCGCCUGAUUCUUCUGAUCUCCCUGAGUGUGAUGAUGCUCAUCUCUGUAUCAGGGGCUGAACACGUGGGGAUACUCUGCUAUGAAAAUCAUUCUAACCAAAAUGCAAGAACCACAAAGGGUACACCUGUAUGGGCCAAAAACAUCAUCAGCUGCUUUGAACAAAACAGACAUGGCUGCCUUCAUGGCUAUGAGGUCAAAACACAAGCGCCAAAAACACGUGCAGAAAGAACAUUUUUCCUCAAACCAAACACCGAGUGGAUAAAAAGGAAAAUAAAUGAGGGAACUCUGCUGUGUCCUCCACAGAUUUCUAAAUGAUGAUAAUGGAAACGAUGAAACAAAAGCUGUAGGACACAAGACCCUAGUGUUUUUUGCCCAUUAUUCAUUAUUAAUUCUUUUCUUCUUCUUUUCUUUUUUCUUCUUCUUUCACCACCACAGGGAACUCUGCUGUGUCCUCCAGUGUUUUCAAAUAAACAUGUAUAAGCUAUUAAUCUUUAAUGAGUCCUCCCACUGUAGUUUGUAUAUUCCAACUGCACUACACUGUUUAGAAGCAGUGACUGUCUGUCAUCUUGUCUCGUAGGUUUCUUAAUUCACACAGUGAUUUUCAUAGAUUUAAUCUAAGUAUAGAUGAUGAAAAUGAUGAAACAUAGUUAAAGUAAAGCAGCUGCUGGAAACAUUUCUGCUCAUUUAUUAGUUCACACUUUGACAGAAAUAUUUGUUAAGAAAUGUAAAUUAUUUUUUGCAAAUUAUUCAUAGCACCUUAACAGUCUUAUGUUCACACACACACACACACAUAUAUAUAUAUUUAUAUAUGUACAAUACAAAGCAAUUUUACUAUAUAACAUGUUUAAAGCCAGGGGGUACACCAAAUUGCUUCACAGUAAGGAAUGAACAGUAAAAUGAUAACACUGAACAGUAAGUCAUUAAAAAAUGUAAAAUAGAGAAACAAACAAAGGCAUUAGUAAGUAGGGAUUGGCAGAAUUCAUGAUAAUCCAGAGAAAUGAGUAAAGAUACGCCAGUUAGUGAUUGGUGAGAAUUAGCAAAUAUACUACAAAUAUCAUUAAAUAUGAAUGUUAUUCUGUCUUCAAGCUGAGAACAAAGAUAAAUCAAUAAAAGCUUCUGAAAUCAGAUCUUUUUUAAUGGUCUGUGUGAUUAAUUACCAUUUGCUGUAGGUGUUAUAACUGACAACAAAAUACUUAUUGUUGUGAUUAUUUCAUGAUGACGUCAUGAUCACAGGACACCAGGAGGCAGCAUUUAACCGAUAUGGCAG
ensembl:lncRNA